AACGAACGCUGGCGGCAUGCCUAACACAUGCAAGUCGAACGAGACCUUCGGGUCUAGUGGCGCACGGGUGCGUAACGCGUGGGAAUCUGCCCUUGGGUCCGGAAUAACUCAGAGAAAUUUGAGCUAAUACCGGAUGAUGACGUAAGUCCAAAGAUUUAUCGCCCAGGGAUGAGCCCGCGUAGGAUUAGCUAGUUGGUGAGGUAAAGGCUCACCAAGGCGACGAUCCUUAGCGGUCUGAGAGGAUGAUCAGCCACACUGGGACUGAGACACGGCCCAGACUCCUACGGGAGGCAGCAGUGGGGAAUAUUGGACAAUGGGCGAAAGCCUGAUCCAGCAAUGCCGCGUGAGUGAUGAAGGCCUUAGGGUUGUAAAGCUCUUUUACCCGGGAUGAUAAUGACAGUACCGGGAGAAUAACGCCCCGGCUAACUCCGUGCCAGCAGCCGCU
rnacentral:rRNA from 1 species